GCACUUUUAUGUAGACUGCCGAGGAUUCCGCGAGGUCAAAUGUAAAAUUCAGUUUCUUCACCAUUGUCGCCCAAAGUGAGGUCUGUUCCUUUGGGUAUCCAGGCUUCUUUUGAAGUCCAAAUUAGGAUCAAGUACCUUGGGUGUCGCAAUGGGUAGUGUUUCACUGGUUUUGGUGACCUGCCUGUGCAUCGUCGUCAUGGCAACAGGUACUCAAGGUCAACGAAACACGCCACGACCUCUGGCUCCUCCUCCCCCGCGGCCAUUUUACCAGUCGUCUCCCAACAACUUCUUUGAAAACUGGAUGAUGAUGGACUAUAUGAAUGGAGGAGAACUGUUUUCAUGGCGCCGGCGUUGAUGACGUUACUAAAACAGUAUCAAGCAUGCCUGAUGUGACUAAGUAACUGAGAACUUUGUACUUUUAUUAAUAAAGUUGUCGAUGGAAA